CAGGCCUAACACAUGCAAGUCGAACGAGGUUUGGUCAGUUUGCGGUGGUGCUUGCAUCACCAAUUACCGAUCAAACCGAGUGGCGGACGGGUGAGUAACACGUGGGUAACCUGCUCUUCAGCAGGGGAUAACAUUUGGAAACAGAUGCUAAUACCGUAUAACCACGGAGACCGCAUGGUCUCCGGGUAAAAGAUGGCGCAAGCUAUCACUGAAGGAUGGACCCGCGGCGUAUUAGCCAGUUGGUGGGGUAACGGCCUACCAAAGCGAUGAUACGUAGCCGACCUGAGAGGGUAAUCGGCCACAUUGGGACUGAGACACGGCCCAGACUCCUACGGGAGGCAGCAGUGGGGAAUAUUGGACAAUGGGCGAAAGCCUGAUCCAGCAAUGCCGCGUGAGUGAUGAAGGCCUUAGGGUUGUAAAGCUCUUUUACCCGGGAUGAUAAUGACAGUACCCGGAGAAGAAGCCCCGGCUAACUUCGUGCCAGCAGCCGCGGUAAU
rnacentral:rRNA from 1 species